UGGCGGUAAUGCGCCUAUUUAUGUUGGUUGCCAGCUGGUGUUAAAAAACAAAUCAAGUUACAGGUAAUAAAUGUAUUGUUAUUAAAAAUUUAGCAUAUUGUUUUGAUUUAUUUUCAAACCGAGUAAGAAGUGGUGGUGAAGAGCACACGAAUCUGAUAAAACGCUUCGACUUUGGAGAACAACCUGAGCAUAAGGUUAGUGAAUUGGGCUGGAAGUACCUUUAAGAUGCUCUGAAAUGUAAAAAUAUGUGAUCUUGACACUAUCUUGACGUCCCAGACAUGAACUUAAUGUAACUUCCAGGUUUAACUGUAGUCAAUUGUAUGCCUUGUUGUUGUUGUUGUUUGUAAUUACGUUAGCUCGUUAGCAAAUAGAGCUAAGUUACCAGAACUCUGUAAGAGCUCGGUAAAGUACAAAUCAAAUCACUUUUAUUGUCACAUCUAAUGCGCUACAUGAACUGGAUAUAUAAAAUGUCAUGAGUGUGCAUUGGACGGUAUAUCCAGUGGUAGCAGAUCGAUUAUUGUAUUAAGUGCAGUGUGUACUUAUAGUCUAGUAUUGAACUGUGUUAGUGUUAAAGUGCAGUGUGUGGCAUAUCGUAUAGUGGGAGUACGCUGUAGGGAGGGUGUAUUAGUUCUGACUGUUCAUUAGUAAUGCAGGCAGUAAUGCAGCACGUUCAGGAUUCUUUCUAUAGUGCAGGUGAAGGAUGUUUUGAGGAUGCUGCGGCUCAUUCCAAACUUCCUCAGCCAUGUCAGGAAGAAGAGGCAGUGAUGUGCCUUCUUCAGCACUGCAUCAGUGUGUGUGUAGACCAUGUGAAGUCCUCAUUGAUGUGAACGCCGAGGAACUUGGUGAUGGGUGUGUGUUCUCUGCUCUCACUCCUGAAAUCCACCACCAGCUCCUUGGUCUUGUCGAUGCUGAGUGUUCUCCUGACCCCAUUUAGUCAGGGAGCUCACCUCAUCUCUGUAGGCCGUCUCAUCUUUGUUUUGAGGAAAACUCACUUGUAGCUCGUUUUCAUCACUACAAAUGAAAAGCGCAUUAAUUGUGUAGUAAAAAUGUUUUGCUCAUGAUUUAUUGAUCCGGAAAAUUUGAAUCUGUGAAUAUCUUGACAGCUUCAUCUGCUCUGUGCCACCUUCCUCAAUGGAUCCAAUACAAUUUGGAUAUUGUAGCAAGCGUUCCCAAGAUGAUGUUAUUUCUUUCACUGCUCUCUCAGAUUUGGAAAAUAACACCACCCAUGUGAGAACACUGUUUGUGGAGUACAGCUCAGCAUUUAAUACCAUAGUGCCUGCCCAACUUGUUCCAGACUCUGGCACUAAAUAGGUCUCUUUGAAGCUUGAUCCUGGACUUCCUGACAGGCAGAAGUCAGGUGGUCAGAAUGGGCAACAAUAAUGUGUCCUCAGCCCACUCCUUUACUCGUGCACACAGGACUAUGCAGCCACACACCUCUCUAAUGUCAUCGUCAAAAUUUAGUUUAUUAAUAAAUAAUCAUAAAAAAUUCUGCCAAAGCAAUUAUUUUCAAAAUGGGUGUUGUAGCAUAACCUGCAGGAGAGCAGUGAUGUGCAGUGUGUUACAGUGAAGUUAUUAACUAUUUUGUCCAAUAACAAUGGUAAUAACUAUUUUUCAUUUUAAAUAAGCAUAAAACCAUGCACAAGCAAUUGUUUUCAAAAAUAACUGUUGUAGUAUAACCAGCAGGAAAGACAUGAUUUGUGAACUGAAUUUGGUGAUACUACAGUGUGUUACUGUGAUGUUAUUGAGUAUUUAUUAGUAAAAUAUUUCGUGUUUCACAGGUUGCAGACAGUCCCUUCAGACUUGUCUCUCAGAUGCCAGCGCUAUGAUAUCAAUGCAUUUUGUACAGAGCAGAGGAAAACUACAUUGUUUUGAGGAAACUACAUUACUACAAAUUAAAAGAAGCGUCAAUUGUGUAGUAAAAACUUUUUGCCUGGGAGUUAUUGAUCCAUAAAAGUUGAAUCUGAGAAUAUCUUACCAACUUUAGCAAACUAAUUACUUUGGUUCUGGCACUGGCCCUCUAGGGUAGAUUUAAUAGUCAUUCAUAUUUAUUUAUUAAAUAGACUUAAUAAAAAAUAUAGAACAAAAUUGUGAUGAUGAUUGAAGAGAAAGAGGACUCAAAUGCGAGGGCAAUAACGAUAGUCUUUAAUUAAACAAAGUCAAGCCACAGGUAAAUCCAACAAAGGCGUGGGAGAAAUGGAUGAAACAGAGGAUGACCCGUAGACUGGGUUGUACAAACAAACUCAGAUGACCUCUGUGGCAGGAACGACCAGCAGACUGGCGGGCCGGAGGCUUAACAGGGCUCACGGAGGAACCGGCGGCCGGUGCUCGCAGAGCGGGGAGGCCGAGGCGUUAUACAGCAGGACUUUGAUUUAGGUUUGGACACAACUAAGCCAACCACAACAUCGAUUGGAACAUCUGCAAAAUGACAUAUAAAACAACUUUCAUGCUAAUGCUCAUGUCAGAAUUGGCAUUCCCUGUACUGACAUUGUCAACUAGUCGCCCUGUGGCAGUUAUUCUGGGGGAACGUGCCAUUCUCCCUUGUAAAAACACAUGUACUGGACCUUUAACCUGGACAUUUACUGGUGGUAGGAAGAGACUGGAGGUUUUGAAAGUUGUACCGAAGGAGGUGGCUUUAAAACCAGAUUGAGCCUUUCCACUGAAAAGACCAAGAAUGGAGAUCUGUUCAACAGUUCUCUGCAAUUCAUUUUUAGAAGUUCUGUUCCCUGUCCCUGUCCCUGUAACAGUAAAUGUGUCAGUUAGGGAAGACGUGACACUACCUUGCUAUGCUUAUACUGACAAAGAGGUUGCUGACGAUGCUGUAAACAUCCUGUGGAAAAAGGGUGACCAUAUAGCUGUGCAAGUUCAAAAUGGAAUUACGAACUAUGGCUCAGGUUAUGCAGAGAGGGGCCUUUGUUGCAGUAAGUGGUUAUAAAGAUGGAGACCUUUCCUUUUCAAUACGCAGAGCCACCACAUUAGACCAAGGACUAUACCAGUGUUAACACAGCACAGAAGAGGAAAAUGGAUACCCAGGAGCUGUUGUUCUCAACAUUGAAGCUUAUCAGAGUCUGGUGAUUUUCUUACCUUGGAUUUGUUCGUCUCAGACCCUGUGACAAUAAGUUUCACCAGUGCUAAUACAACAGAGAUCCUGCUCUGCAGUGUAGAGAGAAGCAUUGCUACAUGUAGCCCUGACUACACUCACAGAGUGUCUGUCGUCGAUACCUCCCUUGUGCUGCAUGAAUUAACGGGAUCUGAUGCUGGAUUCUUUACAGUGAAAGACAAGAUGGAUGUAAUGGUUGCCAUUUACAAUGUUGCUGUGAAAAGUAUGUUUUAAGUUUUGUACAUUUUACAUACUGUUCACUAGAAGGUGCAAUAUGUUAUAAAAUGAUUGUAAUAAUAUUAACUCCAUAACUAAAGGAAGAAGGAGGCAGGAACCGGCGCACAAACCAAAAUUAAACUUUAAUAUUCAAAAUAAACAAAAACAGCACACCAGCCCCUCA